AGCAACCUUACAGUACCCCUUUUGUAACACUAUGGCACUCCCACUGCCCCAUAAAGUCCUCAUAAAGUAAGCCUACAGUAACCCUUCAGUAGCCCUACUGUCAAGCUGGUAACCCUUAUGUGGCCCUGCAAUAUUAUUUAAAGGUACAU
ensembl:ncRNA C32A3.4 ncRNA